rnacentral:rRNA from 1 species
UACCGGCGGCUCGAGUGGUGGCCACUAUUACUGGGCUUAAAGCGUUCGUAGCUGGGUUGUUAAGUCUCUUGGGAAAUCCACCGGCUCAACCGAUGGGCGACCAGGGGAUACUGGCAUUCUAGGGACCGGGAGAGGUGAGAGGUACUCCAGGGGUAGGAGUGAAAUCCUGUAAUCCUUGGGGGACCACCGAUGGCGAAGGCAUCUCACCAGAACGGCUCCGACAGUGAGGAACGAAAGCUGGGGGA